GACACGGCCCAGACUCCUACGGGAGGCAGCAGUGGGGAAUCUUCCGCAAUGGACGAAAGUCUGACGGAGCAACGCCGCGUGAGUGAUGACGGCCUUCGGGUUGUAAAGCUCUGUUAAUCGGGACGAAAGGCCUUCUUGCGAAUAGUUAGAAGGAUUGACGGUACCGGAAUAGAAAGCCACGGCUAACUACGUGCCAGCAGCCGCGGUAAUACGUAGGUGGCAAGCGUUGUCCGGAAUUAUUGGGCGUAAAGCGCGCGCAGGCGGAUCAGUCAGUCUGUCUUAAAAGUUCGGGGCUUAACCCCGUGAUGGGAUGGAAACUGCUGAUCUAGAGUAUCGGAGAGGAAAGUGGAAUUCCUAGUGUAGCGGUGAAAUGCGUAGAUAUUAGGAAGAACACCAGUGGCGAAGGCGACUUUCUGGACGAAAACUGACGCUGAGGCGCGAAAGCCAGGGGAGCGAACGGGAUUAGAUACCCCGGUAGUCCUGGCCGUAAACGAUGGGUACUAGGUGUAGGAGGUAUCGACCCCUUCUGUGCCGGAGUUAACGCAAUAAGUACCCCGCCUGGGGAGUACGACCGCAAGGUUGAAACUCAAAGGAAUUGACGGGGGCCCGCACAAGCGGUGGAGUAUGUGGUUUAAUUCGACGCAACGCGAAGAACCUUACCAGGUCUUGACAUUGAUGGACAGAACUAGAGAUAGUUCCUCUUCUUCGGAAGCCAGAAAACAGGUGGUGCACGGUUGUCGUCAGCUCGUGUCGUGAGAUGUUGGGUUAAGUCCCGCAACGAGCGCAACCC
rnacentral:rRNA from 1 species